AUUUUCCUCUUUACUGAAUAUGAUGACCCAAAAAGUUUACAUUAAAAGAUUACAAAUACAGGAAAAAAUGCAAGGGGUGGUGACCCUGAUUCCAGGAAAAGGUUUUGCCGAGCAAGCUAGAAGUAGAGACUUGAACUUGUAAAUUGAUGUUACUAUUAGAAUAUAUGCGAACAAACAUUUUGAAUUUUCCAGUAACUGAUAAUUUAAGACCAGGAAAAGGGUUCCACAAGUAAGGCAUGCUCAUGAUAACUUAAUAUUUGAACGCUGUUUCUCUUAACAUAUCUUGCAGGAUUUUACCAAGUGAGGCAAAAUCAGAGAGAGAACUUUCUACUCUGAGGAAGUUGAAUUGAAGACAAGUGCAUUGGAUCUAAAGUUUUAGGCAAAAUUUACCUAGAACAUUUGACAUCAAUAUAGAAAACACGGAAUGAAA
rnacentral:misc_RNA from 1 species